rnacentral:rRNA from 1 species
GUCUGUAUGAAGUUAUAUAGAGUCUAACCUGCCCAUUGAAAUUUAAAAGGCCGCGGUAUCCUAACUGUGCAAAGGUAGCAUAAUAAUUAGCUUUUUAAUUGAGAGCUUGUAUGAAAGGUUGGACAAAGAAAAAUCUGUCUUUAAUAUUUAUUUUGAAUUUUACAUUUAAGUGAAAAGGCUUAAAUGAAUUUAAGGGACGAUAAGACCCUAUAAAUCUUUACAUUUAUUUAUUUUUUAUUAAUUUAGAUUAUCAAUUAAUUAAAAUAUAAAUAUAUGUUUUAUUGGGGUGAUAAAGAUAUAAUUUAAAUAACUGUUUUUAAAAAUAAACAAAUAUAAUUGAUAAGUAUAAGAUCCUUUUUAAAGAUUAAAAGUUAAAGUUACUUUAGGGAUAACAGCGUAAUUUUUUUUGAGAGUUCGUAUCGAAAAAAAAGUUUGCGACCUCGAUGUUGAAUUAAAAAUUCUUUAUAAUGCAGAAGUUAUAAGGGAAAGUCUGUUCGACUUUUAAAUUUUU